UUGUCAAGCCAAAACACGCACACUACAGCUCUGUCUCUAUGUGAGGUUUGUUUGGACAACGAAUGAAUCGGAAAAUGCUCAGAGACCCGAAACACUGAAAGUACUAUGACCGUAAUAUUACGCUGGACGAAUGCGACUCCGUGACAGGAAAGUGGUUUGACACACGUUUAUAUUAGUUAGAGGUGGGUAAAGGACGGUCAAAUAGGUUUUCCGGUUGCACUGUUGGUGACUAGCUAAUACGCUAGCCCCGGAGUUGUAACCCGAUUUAUUAGCUUAGCUGGUUAGCUAGCUGUAACGCACACAGCUGCAGUGGACUCGAGGAAAUGCGGCGGGAGCUUGUCUGGUGGUCUGUAAUUCUGUUUGGAUUUUAAUUUUACCAAUAACUAGUAUGAAAUCUUGUGGGGUAAUGAGAGCUUUGUUAAAGUGACAGACGUGGAGGUAACGGUUAGGUUGGGUUGCUCAGGUAGUGAUGAGCACUUUCAACAUUAACGUUACAAACAAAACCACGUUAAGUUCUUUGAGCACCGACAGUAACAUUAACACUGUCAAUAACAACAACAGGGAGUGAGAUUUGAGAAGCGAUGUGUUUUCGUACUGUCAUGAGAUGAUUCCUAUGGACGAAACGAUGCAGGCAGGAAUGUCCUCAGUCCAGUCGGGACUGGAUGGACACCUGCCGCUUCUACAGACCCAGGGCGCGUUACUGUUGGACCUGCCUUCCCCGGAAGCCUAUCUCGGCAACGGUUCUCUGGACUACGUAGAUGGGAGCAACGCCGGUCCGUUGUUCGAGAGGAGAAAGUGGUCGAAGUCCAACAGCUCCAAGCACCGCUUCAACGAGGUGGUCACGGAGCUCGGUCCGGAAGAGGUACGAUGGUUUUUUAAAGAGGACAAGAAGACUUGGAAGCCCUUCGUCGGGCAUGACUCACUAAAAAUCGAGCUUAUGUUUCGGAAAUAUUGUGAGCUGAACCCUGGAGCAGCAGGUUCUCAGAUCAGCGGCGGGGAAAGACAGAGCGAUAAUAACGGCGCUGAGAGCAGAGGACUGAACGGUGCAGUACUGGUGGAGACGAGGACCAGCAGUGUGCACGGAGCCCGGGGAUCCUUGGACACAUCCACCGUGUCCUCGGAUGAGCGGGACUCUGAUAGCAUUGAAAUCAACGUAGAGCCUGUUUGCGUCCGGGGAGGACUUUAUGAAGUAGAUAUUAAAGACAGGGAAUGCUAUCCUGUUUACUGGAAACAACAAGACCAUAUUCCGGUGAUGAGAGGCCAGUGGUUUAUUGAUGGUUCCUGGCUUCCGUUAGAGGAAGAGGAGAGUGACCUCAUUGAGGAGGAGCACCUGAACCAUUUCUGUGGGCAACAGAUGCAGAUGUCCGAGACGGAUCUGGAGGUCAGGACUGUGGAUAGCAAAGAUGACAUCCACAGUCUGAAGCUGAGUCGAAACCAUGUGGACUGGCACAGCGUGGAUGAGGUCUACCUCUACAGUGAUGCUACCACUUCCAAAAUUGCACGCACAGUUACCCAGAAGCUGGGCUUCUCCAAAGCCUCCAGCAGUGGCACACGGCUCCAUCGGGGCUAUGUUGAGGAGGCCUCACCGGAGGACAGACCCCCCCAGACUACACACAUUGUCUUUGUGGUCCACGGGAUUGGACAGAAGAUGGACCAGGGACGCAUUAUUAAAAACACUGGAAUGCUGAGGGAGGGGGUGAGGAAGAUGGAGGAGAAGCACUUUUCACAGCACAAUGACGAACACGUGGAGUUCCUGCCUGUCGAGUGGCGCUCCAAACUCACAUUGGACGGAGAUACAGUAGACUCGAUCACACCAGACAAAGUAAGAGGAUUAAGAGAUCUCCUCAACAGCAGUGCCAUGGACAUCAUGUACUACAACAGCCCUCUUUACAGGGAUGAGAUUACCAAGGGUCUAACACAGGAGUUAAACAGAUUGUACAUACUUUUCUGCUCCCGGAAUCCUGAGUUUGAGGAGAGGGGCGGCAAAGUGUCCAUAGUGUCUCACUCCCUCGGCUGUGUCAUCACCUACGAUAUCAUGACAGGAUGGGAUCCUGUGCGAUUCUGUCUGCAGGAGCAUCACACUGUGGAAGAGGAGCUGGAUCUGUGCUGGAUGUCCUAUGAAGAGAAGCACCUUUUAGAGCAGAUACGGCUCACAAGAAUUAGGUUACGAGAGCUGCAAAAUCAGCUUCUCAUGCUAGAAGCCUCAAAACCUUCAGCACCUCCUGCCCUGAAAUUUAAGGUGGAGAACUUCUUCUGCAUGGGUUCUCCUCUGGCUGUGUUCUUGUCCCUGAGGGGGAUCCGUCCUGGUACCAGCUGCCACCAGGACCACAUCCUGCCCACCUCCAUUUGCAGCAGACUCUUCAAUGUCUUCCACCCCACAGACCCUGUGGCGUACAGACUGGAGCCCCUCGUUCUCAAACAUUACAGCAAUGUCUCACCUGUUCAGAUACAUUGGUGUAGCGCCACUAACCCCACACCCUAUGAUGAGAUCCGACCAAUCUUCCUGAAUCCGGUUAAAGACCCAACAUCUGACAGUGAGAGCAUCCCCAGCCCGAGCACUUCUCCUGUACUCCCCCGCAGGCACUAUGGGGAGUCGAUCACCAAUCUGGGCAAGGCCAGCAUACUGGGAGCGGCGAGCAUAGGGAAGGGCAUUGGAGGCAUUCUCUUCUCACGUUUCUCUCGUUCCAACAGCCAGCCCUCAGUAUCUUUAGGACUGGAGGGAGUGGCAAACAAUGAGGAAGAGGAGCAGAAGCGAACAGAAAGCCAGUCAGCAUACGGCCUCUCCACCAUAACUCAACCGACCUCACCCACACCAGACACGCCAUUGGAGCUGGAACGGCGCAUCGACUUUGAGCUCAGAGAGGGUCUGGUGGAGAAUCGCUACUGGUCGGCAGUGACCUCUCACACAGGCUACUGGUGCUCACAUGACAUAGCACUCUUCCUGUUGACCUUCAUAUACAAGCAGAACACGACACCCUCUGACCCAACAGAAGAUACCCCAGAGCCAGACUAAGGAAGCACCUUCGUUACAACACAGUCACUUGGAUGAUGGUUCAUAACCCUGAGGGAGUGAUUCAUGCAGACCGUGUAAACGUCUUCAAGGCCUCCAUUUAUAUACUCCACUUCUCUACAUCUCUCUCCCCUUCAUCUCCUCACUCCUCAUGCACAUCAUCAGCAGCCAAGCCAGCUGUCUAUCUGACUCUCCUGCUCUGCAUCUCACUGACUCAAAUGUUUACUCUGCAAUUAAAACACAGCCUAUAAAAGGCAAUGGAUCAGCUGCCAGACACUGACAAGGGGGUCAGAGCUGCGGGGAUGGAGGUUGUAGUGUAAAUCGCGUUGAUACCGACCACAGUCUGGAGGCCCAGAUUUCUGAGCUGAGUUCACCAGGAGACCGAGCCAAAAACACUGAUGAUUCAUGGGUAUUUACUGCAGACCACUUGGAGAGUAUGUGCUGGAGUGUGCAUUGUGCUGCUGCUUUGGCAAGAAAGGAGACAGCGGCUUUUUUCCUCUCCUUUUCCUCCAAACUUGUCAUUUGUGUGAUCAAUUGAUUGACUAUACAUAUAAAAUGCCAUUUUUCAUCUGAGCUGUGAAGACAGCAACAACUUGCAGACAGUAUCUUUAUAUUCUGUGUGUGUGUUAUGCUUGCAGAUAUGAUAAUCUAUCAGCAAAUGGCCCAUUAUAGCUUAAUUUGGUGCAGAGGGACUAGAAAACUU